AGCUGGUGCAGCCAGGAUACCCAGCAGAGAUCAGCAACAGCAGGAGAGGUAGGGCCUUUGGAUCCCUUCAAAAGGGCCUCCCCAAGGAGACACAACUGUGGAUGGCUGGAGUACAAUAACAUGAUCUUGACUCAUUGCAACAUUUGCCUCCCUGGUUCAAGCAGUUCCUCAGCCUCUGGAGUAGCUGGGAUUACAGCCGCCAUGUUAAGAUGCCCAAGCUAAGCCACGUGGAAGGCAUGGAAGGAGAGGUCACAGCUUUUGGCCAUCCUGGUGCCACACAUGUGAAUGAGGCCAACUUGGACAUUCAUCCCAGCUUCAAUCUGACCACAGCCUCAUGAGAUACACCUGUGAGAUCCAGGCGACACACCCAGUGAUCACAGUCAACCCACAGAAUGGUGAAAGAGACAAGGUUUCAUCAUGUUGGCCAGGCUGAUCUCAAACUCCUGAUCUCGAGUGAUUCACCCAUUUUGGCCUCCCAAAGUGCUAGGAUUAUAGGCAUAAGCCACCUUGCCUGGCCCACUGCAACAUUUUAUGGAGAAGUAUCUGA